AUUGAACGCUGGCGGCGUGCUUAACACAUGCAAGUCGAGCGGAGCGGCGAACGGGUGAGUAACGCGUGAGUAACUGCCCCCCUCCCUGGGAUAACAGUUGGAAACGGCUGCUAAUACCGGAUAGUGGGGGAUGACUCGCGUCUUAUCAGCUUGUUGGUGGGGUAGCGGCCUACCAAGGCGACGACUGGUAGCCGGCCUGAGGAGGCAACAGGCCACAUUGGGCUAGGAGACGGACCAAAGUCCUACGGGAGGCAGCAGUGGGGAAUAUUGCACAAUGGGGGAAACCCUGAUGCAGCAACGCGCGUGCGGGAUGACGGCCUUCGGGUUGUAAACCGCUUUCAGCCAUGACGCGGUAGUGGCAGAAGAAGCACCGGCUAACUCCGUGCCAGCAGCCGCGGUAAUAC
rnacentral:rRNA from 1 species